GCACUGCUGAAGAGUGCCAUACUAGUACGAAACGGUCGUCCAGUGC
rfam:Schistosoma margrebowiei strain Zambia genome assembly, scaffold: SMRZ_scaffold0000528